GAGGGCGUAGCUCAGCUGGAUAGAGCAAGAGUUUCCUAAACUCUAGGUCGGCGGUUCAAGUCCGCCCGCCCUCACCA
rnacentral:tRNA from 1 species